rnacentral:rRNA from 1 species
UACGGAAGGCAGCAGUGGGGAAUAUUGCACAAUGGGCGCAAGCCUGAUGCAGCCAUGCCGCGUGUAUGAAGAAGACCUUCGGGUUGUAAAGUACUUUCAGUCGUGAGGAAGGUGUUAAGGUUAAUAACCUUAGCAAUUGACGUUAGCGACAGAAGAAGCACCGGCUAACUCCGUGCCAGCAGCCGCGGUAAUACGGAGGGUGCGAGCGUUAAUCGGAAUUACUGGGCGUAAAGGGCACGCAGGCGGUUAAUUAAGUUGGAUGUGAAAUCCCCGGGCUUAACCUGGGAAUGGCAUUCAAGACUGGUUAGCUAGAGUCUUGUAGAGGGGGUAGAAUUCCAUGUGUAGCGGUGAAAUGCGUAGAGAUGUGGAGGAAUACCGGUGGCGAAGGCGGCCCCUGGACAAGCUGACGCUCAUGUGCGAAAGCGUGGGGAGCAAACGAGGAUUAGAUACC